UGGGGAUAUUGGACAAUGGGGGAAGCCCUGAUCCAGCGACGCCGCGUGAGUGAAGAAGUAUCUCGGUAUGUAAAGCUCUAUCAGCAGGGAAGAAUCAUGACGGUACCUGAGUAAGAAGCCCCGGCUAACUACGUGCCAGCAGCCGCGGUAAUACGUAGGGGCAGCGUAUCGAUACUGGUGUAAAGGGAGCGUAGACGGUGAUGUAAGUCUGGAGUGAAAGGCGGGGCCGCAACCCGCCGACUGCUCUGGAAACUAUAUGACUGGAGUGCAGGAGAGGUAAGCGGAAUUCCUAGUGUAGCGGUGAAAUGCGUAGAUAUUAGGAGGAACACCAGUGGCGAAGGCGGCUUACUGGACUGUAACUGACGUUGAGGCUCGAAAGCGUGGGGAGCAAACAGGAUUAGAUACC
rnacentral:rRNA from 1 species